GGCCUAUUGGACAUAAAUGAGCCAUUUUACCACUCAGCCCCCCUGAACCCUUCAAAACCGAUUUCAACCUAUAAUAAUUUCGGAUAGAUAAUGUUGUACUAUUCUGGUUAAUCUCGCUUACACGAACUUGAUAUUUGGAUAAAAGGUUGAAUGGUAUCUGGGACAGAUGUUUGUCUGAUCUUGAGUCUGAAGUAUUCGAUAAUAAUUUGGAAAAUAAAUUGUAAAUACCAACUGCUGAAAGUAACAAUACAAUUGGUUUC
rnacentral:misc_RNA from 1 species